UACGUAGGAGGCAAGCGUUGUCCGGAUUUACUGGGCGUAAAGAGCGUGUAGGCGGCAUGGCAAGUCUACUGUGAAAGCUCUCGGCUUAACCGGGAGAGGUCGGUGGAAACUGCCAGGCUUGAGGACGGUAGAGGGGGGUGGAAUUCCCGGUGUAGUGGUGAAAUGCGUAGAGAUCGGGAGGAACACCAGUGGCGAAGGCGGCCCCCUGGGCCGCUCCUGACGCUGAGACGCGAAAGCCAGGGGAGCAAACGGG
rnacentral:rRNA from 1 species